ACACUUCGGAUUCUCUGCUGUCAAUUUUCAGCUUUUGUAGUUGGAAACGUCACUCCAGAUUUCCAGAGUAGAUUUUAAUGAAUUGAAUUGAGCACUCGGAAUCUACAUUAAUGAUUAGGUCAUAUAGAGAACUAGUGAGGUCAGGUUUACACAUAGAUGAUUAGGUCAUAUAGAGAACUAGUGAGGUCAGGUUUACACAUAGAUGAUUAGGUUAUAUAGAGAACUAGUGAGGUCAGGUUUACACAUAGAUGAUUAGGUUAUAUAGAGAACUAGUGAGGUCAGGUUUACACAUAGAUGAUUAGGUCAUAUAGAGAACUAGUGAGGUCAGGUUUACACAUAGAUGAUUAGGUCAUAUAGAGAACUAGUGAGGUCAGGUUUACAUAUAGAUGAUUAGGUCAUAUAGAGAACUAGUGAGGUCAGGUUUACACAUAGAUGAUUAGGUCAUAUAGAGAACUAGUGAGGUCAGGUUUACAUAUAGAUGAUUAGGUCAUAUAGAGAACUAGUGAGGUCAGGUUUACAUAUAGAUGAUUAGGUCAUAUAGAGAACUAGUGAGGUCAGGUUUACACAUAGAUGAUUAGGUUAUAUAGAGAACUAGUGAGGUCAGGUUUACACAUAGAUGAUUAGGUUAUAUAGAGAACUAGUGAGGUCAGGUUUACACAUAGAUGAUUAGGUCAUAUAGAGAACUAGUGAGGUCAGGUUUACACAUAGAUGAUUAGGUCAUAUAGAGAACUAGUGAGGUCAGGUUUACAUAUAGAUGAUUAGGUCAUAUAGAGAACUAGUGAGGUCAGGUUUACAUAUAGAUGAUUAGGUCAUAUAGAGAACUAGUGAGGUCAGGUUUACACAUAGAUGAUUAGGUCAUAUAGAGAACUAGUGAGGUCAGGUUUACAUAUAGAUGAUUAGGUCAUAUAGAGAACUAGUGAGGUCAGGUUUACAUAUAGAUGAUUAGGUCAUAUAGAGAACUAGUGAGGUCAGGUUUACACAUAGAUGAUUAGGUCAUAUAGAGAACUAGUGAGGUCAGGUUUACACGUAGAUGAUUAGGUCAUAUAGAGAACUAGUGAGGUCAGGUUUACAUAUAGAUGAUUAGGUCAUAUAGAGAACUAGUGAGGUCAGGUUUACAUAUAGAUGAUUAGGUCAUAUAGAGAACUAGUGAGGUCAGGUUUACAUAUAGAUGAUUAGGUCAUAUAGAGAACUAGUGAGGUCAGGUUUACAUAUAGAUGAUUAGGUCAUAUAGAGAACUACAGUGAGGGAAGGUUUGA